rnacentral:tRNA from 1 species
AUGGAGGUAUAAUAAAUUUUAUUACGUUAAUGAAAAAUUUAAAAUUUCUAGAAUUAAAUAAUUCUAGAA